rnacentral:rRNA from 1 species
AAUACGAAGGGACCUAGCGUAGUUCGGAAUUACUGGGCUUAAAGAGUUCGUAGGUGGUUGAAAAAGUUGGUGGUGGAAUCCCAGAGCUUAACUCUGGAACUGCCAUCAAAACUUUUCAGCUAGAGUAUGAUAGAGGAAAGCAGAAUUUCUAGUGUAGAGGUGAAAUUCGUAGAUAUUAGAAAGAAUACCAAUUGCGAAGGCAGCUUUCUGGAUCAUUACUGACACUGAGGAACGAAAGCAUGGGUAGCGAAGAGGAUUAGAUACCCUCGUAGUCCAUGCCGUAAACGAUGUGUGUUAGACGUUGGAAAUUUAUUUUCAGUGUCGCAGCGAAAGCGACAAACACACCGCCUGGGGAGUACGACCGCAAGGUUAAAACUCAAAUGAAUUGACGGGGACCCGCACAAGUAGUGGAGCAUGUGGUUUAAUUCGAAGAUACGCGCAGAACCUUACCAACACUUGACAUGUUCGUCGCGACUUUAAGAGAUUAAAGUUUUCGGUUCGGCCGGACGAAACACAGGUGCUGCAUGGCUGUCGUCAGCUCGUGUCGUGAGAUGUUGGGUUAAGUCCCGCAACGAGCGCAACCCUCACUUUUAGUUGCCAUCAUUUAGUUGGGCACUCUGAAAGAACUGCCAGUGAUAAGCUGGAGGAAGGUGGGGAUGACGUCAAGUCCUCAUGGCCCUUACGUGUUGGGCUACACACGUGCUACAAUGGUAUCUACAACAGGAAGCAAAACUGCGAAGUUAAGCAAAUCCUUAAAAGAUACCUCAGUUCGGAUUGCACUCUGCAACUCGAGUGCAUGAAGCUGGAAUUACUAGUAAUCGUGGAUCAGCGUGCCACGGUGAAUGCGUUCCCGGGUCUUGUACACACCGCCCGUCACACCAUGGGAGUUGGUUCUACCUUAAGGCAAGGUUUCAAACCCUUGACCACGGUAUAGUCAGCGACUGG